CUAAUCAGCCAGCAUUUAUAUUAAGACUAGGCCCAUGUUCCCCAGACGGAGUUCUUUGCCUGCGUCUGGUUUUAUAAAUGCCGGUGAAAAAC
ensembl:snoRNA SNORA72 Small nucleolar RNA SNORA72